rnacentral:rRNA from 1 species
GAUGAACGCUGGCGGCGUGCCUAAUACGUGCAAGUCGAGCGAACAGACGAGGAGCUUGCUCCUCUGACGUUAGCGGCGGACGGGUGAGUAACACGUGGAUAACCUACCUAUAAGACUGGGAUAACUUCGGGAAACCGGAGCUAAUACCGGAUAAUAUAUUGAACCGCAUGGUUCAAUAGUGAAAGACGGUUUUGCUGUCACUUAUAGAUGGAUCCGCGCCGCAUUAGCUAGUUGGUAAGGUAACGGCUUACCAAGGCAACGAUGCGUAGCCGACCUGAGAGGGUGAUCGGCCACACUGGAACUGAGACACGGUCCAGACUCCUACGGGAGGCAGCAGUAGGGAAUUUUCCGCAAUGGGCGAAAGCCUGACGGAGCAACGCCGCGUGAGUGAUGAAGGUCUUCGGAUCGUAAAGCUCUGUUAUUAGGGAAGAACAAAUGUGUAAGUAACUAUGCACGUCUUGACGGUACCUAAUCAGAAAGCCACGGCUAACUACGUG